GGGCCCGUGGUGUAGCCUGGUUAACACGUCUCCCUGUCACGGAGAAGAUCACCGGUUCGAAUCCGGCCGGGCCCGCCA
rnacentral:tRNA from 1 species